CGAACGGGUGAGUAACGCGUGAGGAACCUGCCUCAAAGAGGGGGACAACAGUUGGAAACGACUGCUAAUACCGCAUAAGCCCACGGCUCGGCAUCGAGCAGAGGGAAAAGGAGUGAUCCGCUUUGAGAUGGCCUCGUGUCCGAUUAGCUGGUUGGUGAGGUAACGGCCCACCGAGGCGACGAUCGGUAGCCGGACUGAGAGGUUGAACGGCCACAUUGGGACUGAGACACGGCCCAG
rnacentral:rRNA from 1 species